UCAAAGAGGUGUAUUUUCNGCUUUAACUG
rnacentral:piRNA from 1 species